GAUGAACGCUGGCGGCGUGCCUAAUACAUGCCAGUCGAGCGAACAGACGAGGAGCUUGCUUCUCUGACGUUAGCGGCGGACGGGUGAGUAACACGUGGAUAACCUACCUAUAAGACUGGGAUAACUUCGGGAAACCGGAGCUAAUACCGGAUAAUAUAUUGAACCGCAUGGUUCAAUAGUGAAAGACGGUUUUGCUGUCACUUAUAGAUGGAUCCGCGCCGCAUUAGCUAGUUGGUAAGGUAACGGCUUACCAAGGCAACGAUGCGUAGCCGACCUGAGAGGGUGAUCGGCCACACUGGAACUGAGACACGGUCCAGACUCCUACGGGAGGCAGCAGUAGGGAAUCUUCCGCAAUGGGCGAAAGCCUGACGGAGCAACGCCGCGUGAGUGAUGAAGGUCUUCGGAUCGUAAAACUCUGUUAUUAGGGAAGAACAAAUGUGUAAGUAACUAUGCACGUCUGGACGGUACCUAAUCAGAAAGCCACGGCUAACUACGU
rnacentral:rRNA from 1 species